rnacentral:rRNA from 1 species
AACGAACGCUGGCGGCAUGCCUAACACAUGCAAGUCGAACGAGACCUUCGGGUCUAGUGGCGCACGGGUGCGUAACGCGUGGGAACCUGCCCUUAGGUUCGGAAUAACUCCCCGAAAGGGGUGCUAAUACCGGAUAAUGUCUUCGGACCAAAGAUUUAUCGCCUUUGGAUGGGCCCGCGUUGGAUUAGCUAGUUGGUAGGGUAAAAGCCUACCAAGGCGACGAUCCAUAGCUGGUCUGAGAGGAUGAUCAGCCACACUGGGACUGCGACACGGCCCAGACUCCUUCGGGAGGCAGCAGUGGGGAAUAUUGUACAAUGGGCGAAAGCCUGAUCCAGCAAUGCCGCGUGAGUGAUGAAGGCCUUAGGGUUGUAAAGCUCUUUUACCCGGGAUGAUAAUGACAGUACCGGGAGAAUAAGCUCCGGCUAACUCCGUG